rnacentral:rRNA from 1 species
AGGUAACGCGUGGGUAACCUGCCUUAUACAGGGGAGUAACAGUCAGAAAUGGCUGCUAAUACCGCAUAAGCGCACAGAGCUGCAUGGCUCAGUGUGAAAAACUCCGGUGGUAUAAGAUGGACCCGCGUUGGAUUAGCUAGUUGGUGGGGUAACGGCCCACCAAGGCGACGAUCCAUAGCCGGCCUGAGAGGGUGAACGGCCACAUUGGGACUGAGACACGGCCCAG